rnacentral:rRNA from 1 species
AUGGCCACGACACAGGUGUGUACGAUCUGUGGAGCACAUGACAGUUGGCGACACGCUCUACUUGAUUGUGCCAUGUCACGAUGCAUAUGGGCUCUUAAUGAGGAGCUUGUUCAACACAUGUCCGCAAACAGAGAUGAAAAUGCAAAACGUUGGUUACACUCCAUGCUUGAAACCGUUAUGGAGGAUGAACUCACUGUCAUGAUCGUAACAUUGUGGGCCAUUUGGUCUGCCCGGCGCAAGAAAACAGGUACUGGGUCUCCGGCUGUCCCUGUGAUCAAGCCGACGACAUGGAUCCCACCACCGGACCAGCAUGUGAAAGUGAAUGUUGACGCUGCAGUAGCAAGACAUGGGGGGCUUGGGGUGGCCGCAGCCAUUUGUCGGGACAACACAGGGAUCUACCAGGGGGCGUCCGCGGUAGUCUUCAGAAAUAUCAACGAUCCAGCUGUACUGGAGACCUUGGCGAUCCGGGAAGCUUUGUCUCUAUCUGAUGAUCUUUAUGUCCAGAAAAUAGCUGUAGCUUCGGACUGCAAACAGGUGGUGGAAGGUAUCAAGACGGGUACAUCGGCAUCCUACGGAGCAAUUGUACAUGAAAUAGCUGAACGAUCGAAGUCUUUUACUUCUUGUAGGAUUAGCCAUGAAUUUAGAACCUCUAAUGUACAGGCUCACAAGCUCGCAAAGCACACUUUAACGCUGGGUAUUGGCCGCCAUGCUUGGUUAGGUCUACCCGGAGAUCUUGUUUUCGUCCCUGUAAACAUUGUGACGGGUGAAUAA